AGAACUGGAUCCAGCAGAAAUGUAUGAACCUGGUAAUGUGUUUGUUUUGCUUUUUUCUUUCAGAAUGGCCUUAAUGAAGUUGACCGCUAACCGGCCUCUAGGUGUUAAAAUCUAGGUGUUAAAAUCUUGCGACCAGCUAAAGGUGAUCAGCUGGGAUAUCCAAGACGGACCACUGUUAACAAAAAAAAUACGGUGGCAGCAAUCACUGACGGAGAGACAGUGGCAAAAAUUACUUUGUUUGAAGAAUUCUCAUCCAAAGAGGGCAUGUCUUACAAGAUGAGGGAAAAUGAACUGAGAGGCCUAGCUCCCCCUUAUCUAAUCAACAUCACAGUGAGGACACAGUUUUUUAAAGCUCCUGCCCUUGCAAUAACAGAGGCACUCAUCACAAAGGCGGAGGAGCUUCUUGAUCCACCUUUCCCAGCAACACCACUGAGGAUGAGCCCAAUGUUUGGAGGGCUUAUGAGAGUGGAAGGGGAGGUUGUGCAGUGUUCGGCAGUGAGCAAAGUUGUCACAGGCAAACAACAGGUGCCUAUACGAACACUACAGCUAAAGCAGGUAAUGAUGCAACUAAAGUAAUAUUGAAAAUGGUGAAAAUAGGCAUAUUUGAGAUUUGUAUUAGUUAAUGAAUAAAUCUCUCAUUGUGUCAUAUUUGUGAUUUUAGAACAGGCAUACCAUAAGUCUCCUUGUGGAGGGAGGCAUCAAUUCACAGUGUUCAUGUGGGAGAUCAGAUAAAGGUCUCCCAUGUCAAAGUAAACCACUCUGCCUAUGGUGUACAGCUCCAGACGAAUAUGUCUGAAUAUGUCAGGUGCCAUUCAUUGUUCUAUACAAACUAAUAUUCUAUUUUUUGUUUGCUGAAUCUUUGCUUUAAUCCUGUAAUAUCCUGCUCUGAUACAUUGAGUAUUGUUAGAUCAACCCUGGCCUUAUUAAUAAAAUGUGAAUGCAUGGUUUAAUUGAAAUCAUAUCCACCUGUAAGUCUUGACUUGAUCAUUUUUUUAAUGGAGAGGUUCUCAGGUCCUUGACUGAGGACUUGAUCAUUUUUUUCCCUUUAGUAAUUAUUUGAAUUAAGCGCAAUUAAAACAUUAAAACAGCAGGAAUGUUAAAAUGAAUAAUGAAAUGAAUUUGUUGGCUAAUUCAAAGGUACCGAAUGAAUUAUUGUUUAUGGACUUGCCCCUUUUAAUAGCAGAAUGCAGAAAUACUAUAUUUAGUAGAAAUACUGUGAUUUAUCAGAAAUAGUACGAUUUAGCACAAAUACUGUAUGAUAGCAGACAUGCUAUAUGAUAGUAAAAAUAAGUAAGUAAUAAGUAGUGAUUUGUCGGUCGCGACAAAUUGAGGGAGAGAGAGGGAAAGAAAGCCAGGAACAACAAUGUCACAUUCAAAAAGUAUAGUAAUCAUCCACAACUAUUUUCAGUUGCGGAUGAUAAAGGAUUCAGAAAGUUUAUUCACGCAGGUCUAUAUGACAAAGA